rnacentral:misc_RNA from 1 species
CGGUUCGAGUCCGCUUACCUCCACUGAUCCACCUCUCCUGAUAACGAUCUUUAGGAGACCUUGUUUUAUGUGAUCUAGAGUUUGUUCUCUAUGAAUGAACCUAGCUUCUUGUCAUUCUUAAAAACAUAUGAUUGAUAAGACGCUGGGCUCCCUGCAUUUCUUGCAGAGAUGUUCAGUA